ensembl:rRNA 5S_rRNA 5S ribosomal RNA
UUCAGCAGCCAUAUCACCCUGCAACUCACAACUGAAAACCCAAUAAAGCUAAGCAGGGGUGAGCCUGGUCAGUACCUGGAUGGGACACCACCUGGGAAGAACUAAGGUUGCUGCUGGAA